rnacentral:rRNA from 1 species
AGCGAACGCUGGCGGCAGGCCUAACACAUUCAAGUCGAACGAACCUUUCGGGGUUAGUGGCGGACGGGUGAGUAACACGUGGGAACGUGCCUUUAGGUUCGGAAUAACUCAGGGAAACUUGUGCUAAUACCGAAUGUGCCCUUCGGGGGAAAGAUUUAUCGCCUUUAGAGCGGCCCGCGUCUGAUUAGCUAGUUGGUUGAGGUAAUGGCUCACCAAGGCGACGAUCAGUAGCUGGUCUGAGAGGAUGAUCAGCCACAUUGGGACUGAGACACGGCCCAAACUCCUACGGGAGGCAGCAGUGGGGAAUCUUGCGCAAUGGGCGAAAGCCUGACGCAGCCAUGCCGCGUGAAUGAUGAAGGUCUUAGGAUUGUAAAAUUCUAUCACCGGGGACGAUAAUGACGGUACCCGGAGAAGAAGCCCCGGCUAACUUCGUG